UACGGGGGGGGCAAGCGUUGUUCGGAAUUACUGGGCGUAAAGGGCGCGUAGGCGGUUCUUCAAGUCAGCCGUGAAAUCUCCAGGCUUAACCUGGAAGGGUCGGUUGAUACUGUCGAGCUAGAGUGUAGAAGAGGCAACUGGAAUUCCGUGUGUAGCGGUGAAAUGCGUAGAUAUACGGAGGAACACCUGCGGCGAAGGCGGGUUGCUGGGCUAACACUGACGCUGAGGAGCGAAAGCGUGGGGAGCGAACAGG
rnacentral:rRNA from 1 species